CUCACCCGGACCUAUUUUGGACUGCCCUCCUUCCACAUCGUUCUCCGCCUGCAACGAAUUCUUUUCAUGAAAUUAAAGCACAAGGCAUUUUUCCACCUGA